rnacentral:misc_RNA from 1 species
AACGCAAAUUGCGCUUUCUGGAUAGGCCAGGGAGCAUGCCUCUUUGAGCAUCGUUUCUACCAAACUCGUUAGCUUUCUUGGCAACAAGAUCGCGAGCGGAUAAUGCGCUUCUCGCAGGAAACUGUGAGUGGCGUUAAGAAGCGUGAGAUUUGUUUUAACUCUCUAGUGUUCGACCUCUUCAUUGAGGGCGCCUUCCGACUCGGAAGAUUACACUGGUGACGUAGAUAAUUAAUUUUUUCAACGUUGCUGGCGGAAUCGGAUGUGUUGGAUAUUUGGCUAAGACAUUAGAACCGAAACAGUUCUCGAAUGAAAAUUAAUCAAUAUCAUUUCGGUGAUAUUUUUGAAUUAGAUCUCAAAUGAAGCAAGAUUACCCGCUGAACUUAA